rnacentral:sRNA from 1 species
CGUUUCGAGGCAUUAACCCACACAUGCAUCGACACGAUGGCCUGGGUGCCUUUCGACUGGUUCGGAGGGUUGGCCGUUGGGAUGCAUGGAGGCCUAAC